rnacentral:ncRNA from 2 species
GUGAGGGUUAGGGAGAGGUUUCCCCCUCCCCCUGGUGUUCUUAGUAAGCCUGGAAGCUAAUCACUAAGAGUAUCACCAGUAUGAUGACGUGCUUCAUCAUAACCCUUUCCUUAUUUAAAAGCCCUCUUCUCCGGGAGAGGGUUC